CUAAAACAGGUGCUCGUUGCAACGUGACUGGAGAGCGUCGGGCUUGACAGGCAGUUAGCAGUGAUAGUCCAUCGACUCAGCUGUGUCUUUCUUCAUACCUGCCAAAUGUUUGGUGGGGAGGCUGGAUGGCAUUACCAUACAGCUCGUUGGCGUGAAGUGACGAGUUCAUUAGUCUUGGUGCCAAAUCCUGGUGGAGCCCCCCACCACCCAGACUCUGUAGCCAACAAUCGGAAAUGGGAGACAACUCAUUGCUGGAGGAGCUUAUUUUGAUGAGGCGUGAAAUGCAAGUAGUGACACAGCAGAUUAGGCGGAGCAGAGAUGAUAUUGGUAAUCAGACAGCACUCCCAGUGGCAGCUAUCACUGCAGGCAAUGACGUUACCAGUAGUCGUCCAAACACCAGGUCCUAUGCUACCAGCACUGAAACGCUUUAUUCCCAAUCAAUAUACAAGCUAAUGAAAUAUUAAUAGUUCUGAACAAAAUGCUACAAAAUCGUUGUUGUUGGUCCCUAAUCAUAGGCUUCUCUGAAAUCAAAUGAGCUCAAUAGGUUCUUUGCCUGUCAGUCUGCCAGUAAGACUAGCAUGCAGGCUAUCCACUGUGGCUAACUAACAGGGAUUCCGACAAAAUUAAUUGAAUCUUAUGCACAUGAGUAUUGUACACCACUGAGUGCACAAAACAGCAUAAAUCACCCACAACACAAACACAAUAAUAGGGUUAAAAAAGGUAUCUCUUUCACUGAUACAUGAUCAAGAUUUUAAAUUCCAUGAUGACUAGUGUUAAUGAUGGGCAGACAACUCUCCCAUGCUACAGCAGAAGAGGGAUACAUUGAACAUGGUAUUAAGUUCGGAAUCAAAUAUUUAUGAAUUGGCUUCUGAUAUAACUACAUCAAAUGAAAUUACAGCAGGGCAGGGUUGGUGGUGGCAGUGUUUGUCUGUCGGGCCAUGGUAAUGAGGAUUGGAAGCUGGGCGGAAGUGCCGACCAAACACUUCGCUGAUUAUGACAAUGAUGGGGUUUUUAAGGAUAAGGACCAUAAAAGACAAUAAACCAAUGUUACAGAGCCAGAGCAACUUGAGCAUGUAUUGAUCAGAUAAUUUGUGCACGUAGGGCAGCUAAUAUCACACAAUUACAGUGUGAGGAGGUGCAAAACAAAGGAGGGACAAGAGAAAAUGAUCAAUACCGUAUAUAGGCAUUUGCCGUAUUUAGGAAUGGCUAAUUGAUCAAUUCCUAUACACGUAUCUGGUGAUAUUCAAACUGUAAAUAAGGCAGUGCAUGCCAAUACAGAGAAUGUAUGUACGGGUAAGGUUAUACACUCACGUCAAUCAUUUGACGACCCUGGAACUGUCAAUCACCACUGGCCUGAGAUCAUGACCAGGAGAAGGGAUACAGGUUAAAGGUCAAAGAAAGGUCAA